rnacentral:rRNA from 1 species
AUUGAACGCUGGCGGCAGGCCUAACACAUGCAAGUCGAACGAGUGGCGGACGGGUGAGUAAUGUAUGGGAAACUGCCCGAUGGAGGGGGGUAACUACUGGAAACGGUAGCUAAUACCGCAUACCAUCGGAUGUGCCCAGAUGGGAUUAGCUAGUAGGUGGGGUAACGGCUCACCUAGGCGACGAUCCCUAGCUGGUCUGAGAGGGUGAACGGCCACACGGGAACUGAGACACGGUCCAGACUCCUACGGGAGGCAGCAGUGGGGAAUAUUUCGCAAUGGGCGCAAGCCUGAUACAGCCAUGCCGCGUGUAUGAAGAAGGCCUUCGGGUUGUAAAGUACUUUCAGCGAGGAGGCGUUACUCGCAGAAGAAGCACCGGCUAACUCCGUGCCAGCCGCCGCGGUAAUAC